UACGUAGGGGGCUAGCGUUGUUCGGAAUCACUGGGCGUAAAGCGCACGUAGGCGGAUCUUUAAGUCAGGGGUGAAAUCCCGAGGCUCAACCUCGGAACUGCCUUUGAUACUGGGGAUCUCGAGUCCGGGAGAGGUGAGUGGAACUGCGAGUGUAGAGGUGAAAUUCGUAGAUAUUCGCAAGAACACCAGUGGCGAAGGCGGCUCACUGGCCCGGAACUGACGCUGAGGUGCGAAAGCGUGGGGAGCAAACAGG
rnacentral:rRNA from 1 species